rnacentral:lncRNA from 1 species
UACGCUCAGAGUCCCCAUCUGGUUUCAACCUGCCUCUUCCCCUCUGCCCCCCCCAUCUUCCCUGAAUUCCAGCCUCCAGGGUGGUACCCAUGUUCCGGGACCCACUUCUGAGUGCCAGCCGGAGCCCAUGCAAGGACCUCUCCUUGGUAUGCCCUUCUUCUCCCUUCUUCUGGUCCUAUCGUGACAGGUGACUUAGACGGGCACACGUGACGCCCACACCUCCCACAGGAGCCCAAACAGACGGAGACAGUUGGCCGGACUGGCAAGGAGUGCUGCUGUGGGUGGCGCCCAGGGGUGUCGCUACAUCCUGCUGUGUCCAGGACAGCCCCACAACGAGGAAUUGUCAGCCCCAAAGGUCAGUCGUGCUGAGAUGGAGGAACCCCGCCCCAAAGGCUUACCCCCAUGGACAAGCAUCACAGCAAAUCUGGGAAGCUCCUUAGACAUGUAGACUCCUGGGCCCCACCCCAGACCAUGUACAUCAGACUCUGCGUUUGAGCAGCGCCCCCCAGAGGAGUUCUGUGUUCGUUUGAGACCCAGACUGCACAGUGAGGUAGCC